CUCACCUCUUCUUCCUGCUUUAGGUGGUUCGUUCUUUCCAUUGGAUUAUGUUUGGGUGAGUUCUUAGUUCAUAGUUGCGCUCCUCCCGACUUCGAUUCCCCGUUCGAACACAAACCCAAACCUUUUAAUCUCCUUCCCCAAAUCAACACGAUCAUCCAUUAAUUUUAAUUCGCGCCCAAGUCCUUAGAACGCUCGAACCCAGUUUGGGUUCGAUAUUCCCGCCGACUUUCAAAGGUUUUCCGGUGGCGGCUGGCCCUGCAACCAAAACUAUUUGACUCAGACAGUCCCAACAACAACAUGUGAGCUUUGCAUGCUCGAAUCUACCCGUCGAUCAAAGAUUUCCAUAAGUCCACCUUGCGGUGGGUUUUUUCGACGAGGAUCGGAAUCUUUUUCGGCCAAUUUCAGGCCUUUGAGACCUUUUUUGGGUCCAGCCAAGGAUGAUCAUGAAUGAAUGGUACUCUUCUGCAAUGGCGGGAUUUGUUAUCUGUGGGGCAACUGAUUGGAUUCUGUAAAUCAAUUUGGUGGAGGAGUUGUUCCGUAGCCUGAGGAAGAACAGAGCAAUGUUUUUGAAACAAGUACCCACAAGCUCUCUUUCGCAGAAAUGACGAACCCAGCUCGACUUCUCUUUCAAAACUCAGGUCGAGUCCUCGACUUCUCUCUUCUAUUGCUCUCGAAUUCGCCCUCUCUCGCUGACGGUUUUUGGUGCCUCGUGGAUUCUGACUGCCUCCGCAGCCGUGAAAUCAUAGAAAUCAUCAUCGAUCAAGCCCUUGCUGUUCACAAGAUCCAGCUUUCUGAAGCUUUGGCUCAAUUUGAUCCGGCUUGGUUCUGCUCCUCGCCUUGCUGUUAACAAGAUCCAGUUGUUAAGAAAAUUUUAGCGUUGUUUUUGUGGCUAUUAUAUGAUUGGCUGACAAAUAGUGCCUUUAGCACUACCUUCUCUCUCACUGAGCCCUAGCUCAAACCCUCAUCCGCCGUCGCUAACCUACACCCUCCACUGCCCGCACUUCAAAUCGUGCUCCGAGUGUACUCACGAGUUCAAUCUCCACCGUCCUGUCAUCGAUGAGGCGACGGAGUUCUUCAAGACAGUUGGAGUCUCAGAUUUCACUUUUGACAGUUGCAAAUUUGUGCUUUACUUGACUUUUUUUUCCCCUUAAUUUCGUGAAGUUUAGGCCUUUUCUUAAAAUUUAAAUAAAAAGAAAUAUCUAUCUGGUAUUGGUUAGUUUUGAUCUUGAUAUUAACUGGGUUUGGUGUUCGUGGGGAUGGCAGUGUCUCGCAAAGUUAGCCGUUCUUGGGUCACCAGGUCACCACAAAACCCCCUGAUUGGGCUUUAUCAUUAGGAACUCAUAGUGUAGUAGAUAUUCCUCAAUGCAAAGCUCAUUGUCCAAGUAUAAAUGCUGCUGUGGAGCUGCCUAAAGAAGGUCCCUUUCCGGUUAUUAAAACUCAAUGUUACCUGUUUUCAUUUCCAGUUUUUAAGUCUUCUAUUUGUUUGCUUGCUGCAAUUAUUCAACUUAACUACCAUUUGGAUCAUGUGAAUGACAACUUUCAUGUAUAUUUUCAAAUAAUGAGCAGUUUAUUGCUGUUAAUCUGUUGAUCACUGUAUAUGUUGCUGAUUUACCUACUCAAACAACGUACAUGUUAACAUUGAUAUAUAAAACUUAUUUAUAUGUUAAUAGUAUGGUUUCUUUACAUUUGAGAUUGGUUGAACAACAACAUUUUCUACUUUCCCAUGCCAACUCACUCCACUCUGUUCGAAGCUCUUCAACUUUUGCACACAAAUUGCUCAAAAAUUCCUGCUCUCAAACAUCUUAGAUCCCUUACUCACCCUUCUGGCAUCAACACCCAAAGGUAUAUUUCUCUCAUUGCUUUCACAAUUCAGUGUGUGUAUAUAUAUAUGUAUAUAUAUGCUGAAAUGUAUGAAGACAUUCACAUAUUGUAGAACUAAAAGGACGGUAGAAUGCUUGAAUAAUGGAAUGGAGUCGAGAUUAUGUUGAGAAAGGACAGUAAAUAGCUAUCACUAUGUGAAUCCGACAUUCACCUCUCCCAGACCCUGCGUAAAGCGGGAGCCUUGUGCACUGGGUACGACCUUUUAUUGUAUUUCCCAUGUUGAGAGAAAGAACUAAAAGGAUAGUAAAGUGCUCGAAUAAUGGAACCGAAUCGAGAUUAUGCCCAAGGGCCACUUGCCAAAUGGUCAGAUUAUUGCUGUAAAAUAUGUAGAUUGCACUUGAACAAGAAGAUUGAGAAACAGAAGGUUGGAGGACUAGAUGAUCAAGCACUGCCUUAUUUUUAAAGAAAAGGAUAUUGACUAUAAUAUUCACUUAAUCAGUUCUCUGUAUUAUCCUUUCUUCAACAGGGGUUGAGAACAAUAUUUAAUAUGUAGGUUGUAUUGAUUGAAUAUUUGGUUUUGUUGGUUGAAAAGUUUAAUAUCGUUUAUUUGUAUGCUCCGAUCUUUGGUUGACGCUGUUAUGUGGAAAAGACCCCUUAUAAAAGAUUAGAGAUGUAACUGUAAACAAAUAACAGGACCUCCAUACAUUCCUGAGCAUCGCUUUUAUUUAGUGGAUUACAGUGAAUUGUUAUCCUGUGUAGAUAAAGUUGAAAUUCUCAUAGAUGUUGUGGGACGCAUCACAGCAGUGCAACCAGACAGUUUUGAAUCCCGCAGCAUCGCGCGGGCUUCACUGCUUGU
rnacentral:sRNA from 1 species